AUUGAACGCUGGCGGCAUGCCUUACACAUGCAAGUCGAACGGCAGCACGGGGCAACCUGGUGGCGAGUGGCGAACGGGUGAGUAAUGCAUCGGAACGUACCUUUCAGUGGGGGAUAACGUAGCGAAAGUUACGCUAAUACCGCAUAUUCUGUGAGCAGGAAAGCAGGGGAUCGCAAGACCUUGCGCUGAUUGAGCGGCCGAUGUCAGAUUAGCUAGUUGGUGAGGUAAAGGCUCACCAAGGCGACGAUCUGUAGCGGGUCGGAGAGGAUGAUCCGCCACCCGAGACCUGUGCAAGGGUCCGCACCCCUCCGGGCGGCACCAUGGGGGAAUUUUGGACAAGGGGGCAACCCUGAUCCAGCCAUGCCGAGUGAGUGAAGAAGGCCUUCGGGUUGAAAAGCUCUUUCGGCCGGCAAGAAAUCGCACGAGCUAAUACCCUGUGUGGCUGACGGUACCGGAAUAAGAAGCACCGGCUAACUACGUGCCAGCCGCCGCCGUAACAC
rnacentral:rRNA from 1 species